rnacentral:piRNA from 1 species
CCUUCUCACUACUGCACUUGACU